AUACGGAGGGGGCUAGCGUUGUUCGGAAUUACUGGGCGUAAAGCGUACGUAGGCGGACUGAUCAGUUGGGGGUGAAAUCCCAGGGCUUAACCCUGGAACUGCCUUCAAUACUGUCAGUCUUGAGUUUGGGAGAGGUGAGUGGAAUUCCUAGUGUAGAGGUGAAAUUCAUAGAUAUUAGGAGGAACACCAGUGGCGAAGGCGGCUCACUGGCCCAUUACUGACGCUGAGGUGCGAAAGCGUGGGGAGCAAACAGGAUUAGAAACCCUAGUAGUCC
rnacentral:rRNA from 1 species